rnacentral:misc_RNA from 1 species
UGUGGGAGCUGGCUUGCCUGCGAUAGCGGUGUAUCAGAUUGCAUUUUCAGCGGCUGACACUCCGCUAUCGCAGGCAAGCCAGCUCCCACA